AUUGAACGCUGGCGGAAUGCUUUACACAUGCAAGUCGAGCGGCAGCGCGGGGGCAACCCUGGCGGCGAGCGGCGAACGGGUGAGUAAUACAUCGGAACGUACCCAGUAAUGGGGGAUAACACAGCGAAAGUUGUGCUAAUACCGCAUACGCCCUGAGGGGGAAAGCGGGGGAUCGCAAGACCUCGCGUUAUUGGAGCGGCCGAUGUCAGAUUAGCUAGUUGGUGAGGUAAAGGCUCACCAAGGCGACGAUCUGUAGCGGGUCUGAGAGGACGGCCCGCCACACUGGGACUGAGACACGGCCCAGACUCCUACGGGAGGCAGCAGUGGGGAAUUUUGGACAAUGGGGGCAACCCUGAUCCAGCCAUUCCGCGUGAGUGAAGAAGGCCUUCGGGUUGUAAAGCUCUUUCGGCAGGAACGAAACGGUCGUCGCUAAUACCGAUGGCUAAUGACGGUACCUGAAGAAGAAGCACCGGCUAACUACGUGCCAGCCGCCGCCGUAA
rnacentral:rRNA from 1 species